rnacentral:sRNA from 1 species
AAAGAAUUGCAUAAAGAAAGAAGAGAAACGAUGUGGUGCGAAGGUAAGCGGUCAUGGCCUGAGUUAGUAGGAGUUAAAGGAUCGGUGGCAGUGGCUACAAUUGAGAGGGAGAAUCCUUAUGUGGAUGCUCACACUGUGCUUAAGGGAUCCGCAGUCACCUUUGAUUACCGUUGUGACAGGGUUCGGGUUUGAGUCACUAAAGAGGGAAUCCUUUAUCAGCCUCCCAUCAUUGGAUAGCCACUUCACACUCUUCCAUAUAAUACUUAAAUAACGACUUAUCUCCAUUUAUGUUACCUCUUUCAAAAUGAAACAAACUACCUUCUUCUUCUCAUUUUUCAUUAUUUAUCUUCAAAUUCUGUGUCAUUUUCCUUCUCCAAGGAAUUAACUAUAUAUCUCCAUUUAUUGCUGCU